rnacentral:lncRNA from 1 species
GAGACGUGCGCUCGGUGCUACUACUCCUCGACGUAAAUUUGUUACGUCGCAUGCAGAUUAAUAUUCAUGGUCCGUGCGGCGGGGUCGUGUGGCUGCACCCAGGGAGUCAAAUAGCGCCACUCUAUAUAUAUAUAUGUAUAUAUAUAUGUAUAUAUAUAUAUAUAUAUGUAUAUAUAUAUGUAUAUAUAUAUAUAUAUAU